CCUACGGGCGGCAGCAGUGAGGAAUAUUGGUCAAUGGGCGCGAGCCUGAACCAGCCAAGUCGCGUGAGGGAAGACGGCCCUGCGUGUUGUAAACCUCUUUUGCCAGGGAACAACGGGCGCCACGUGUGGCGCCACUGAGAGUACCCGAAGAAAAAGCAUCGCCUAACUCCUUGCCAGCAGCCGCGGUAAUACGGAGGAUGCGAGCGUUAUCCGGAUUUAUUGGGUUUAAAGGGUGCGUAGGCGGAGCGUUAAUUCAGGGGUCAAAUUUAGGGGCCCAACCCCUUCCCGCCAUUGAAACUGGCGCUCUUGAGUGGAAGAGAAGUAUGCGGAAUGCGUGGUGUAGCGGUGAAAUGCUUAGAUAUCACGAAGAACUCCGAUUGCGAAGGCAGCUUACUAAACUGCCACUGACAUUGAUGCUCGAAAGUGUGGGUAUCAAACAGGAUUAGAUACCCCGGUAGUC
rnacentral:rRNA from 1 species